UGUUCUGUUUGUGAGUG
rnacentral:sRNA from 1 species